rnacentral:lncRNA from 1 species
UCACUGGGCUUUUAGCUCACCCCUCUCCCUUUACCCCCAGGCUUGCAGGUACAGUAUAGUGCGGGAGUCCGGAUAGAGUAAAGAAGUUAUGCCUUUGUAAUAGCUAGUAAUGGACAUGAUCAAAAUUGUAAUGUAAAAGUACAGUAUAGUUAUGUAAUGAGUUUUAUGGAUGUUAGUAUGUGCUUGACCAUAGAUUGUUGUAUCCCUUUUAU